rnacentral:rRNA from 1 species
UGAGUACGCGUGGGAUCUGCCCGUCGAGAAUAACCCUGGGAACUAGCUAAAACGGAUAAGCCCCGCGAGGGGGAAGUUUACGCCGAAGGAGGAGCCCGCGUCCGAUAGCUAGUUGUGAGUAAGAGCUCACAAGGCGACGAUCGGUAGCUGGUCUGAGAGGACGAUCAGCCACACUGGGACUGAGACACGGCCAGACUCCUACGGGAGGCAGCAGUGGGGAAUAUUGGACAAUGGGCGCAAGCCUGAUCCAGCCAUGCCGCGUGAGUGAUGAAGGCCUUCGGGUUGUAAAGCUCUUUUGGCGGGGACGAUGAUGACGGUACCCGCAGAAUAAGCCCCGGCAAACUUCGUGCCAGCAGCCGCGGUAAGACGAAGGGGGCAAGCGUUGUUCGGAAUUACUGGGCGUAAAGGGCGCGUAGCGGUUCUUUAAUCAGGCGUGAAAGCCCUGGGCUCAAACCUGGGAGUGGCGCUUGAUAACUGGGGGACUAGAGAGUGGGAGAGGUUGGUGGAAUUCCCCAGUGUAAAGGGUUGAAAUUCCGUAGAUUUUGGGGAAGAACACCGGUGGGGAAAGGGGGGCAACUGGACCCAUUCUGGAACGCUGAG